GCGGGGGUAGCCAAGCCAGGUCAAAGGUGGCAUUUAUUGGGCUAGAUGAUAGCUUAGCAUAUCAUAAUAGCGCCGUCCAAAGGCGCUGGACUUAAGAUCCAGUCAUAUAGAUGUACGUGGGUUCAAAUCCCAUCCCCCGCA
rnacentral:tRNA from 1 species